rnacentral:rRNA from 1 species
CAGUCGCCGGUAAUACAGAGGGUGCAAGCGUUAAUCGGAAUUACUGGGCGUAAAGCGCGCGUAGGUGGUUUGUUAAGUUGGAUGUGAAAGCCCCGGGCUCAACCUGGGAACUGCAUCCAAAACUGGCAAGCUAGAGUACGGUAGAGGGUGGUGGAAUUUCCUGUGUAGCGGUGAAAUGCGUAGAUAUAGGAAGGAACACCAGUGGCGAAGGCGACCACCUGGACUGAUACUGACACUGAGGUGCGAAAGCGUGGGGAGCAAACAGGAUUAGAUACCCGGGUAGUCCCUGUCUCUUAUACAC